AUUGAACGCUGGCGGCAUGCCUUACACAUGCAGGUCGAACGGCAGCACGGGUGCUUGCACCUGGUGGCGAGUGGCGAACGGGUGAGUAAUGCAUCGGAACGUACCGUGUAAUGGGGGAUAACGUAGCGAAAGUUACGCUAAUACCGCAUACGACCUGAGGGUGAAAGCAGGGGACCGUAAGGCCUCGCGCAAUUAGAGCGGCCGAUACCUGAUUAGCUAGUUGGUGAGGUAAAGGCUCACCAAGGCAACGAUCAGUAGCUGGUCUGAGAGGACGAUCAGCCACACUGGGACUGAGACACGGCCCAGACUCCUACGGGAGGCAGCAGUGGGGAAUUUUGGACAAUGGGGGCAACCCUGAUCCAGCAAUGCCGCGUGAGUGAAGAAGGCCUUCGGGUUGUAAAGCUCUUUUGUCAGGGAAGAAACAGCAGCUCUAACACAGUUUGCGAAUGACGGUACCUGAAGAAUAAGCACCGGCUAACUACGUGCCAGCCGCCGCAGUAA
rnacentral:rRNA from 1 species